GGAGAGAUGCCGGAGUGGUUAACGGAGCGGUUUGCUAAACCGUCAGCGCAGAAAUGUGCUGCGGGGGUUCGAAUCCCCCUCUCUCCG
rnacentral:tRNA from 1 species